rnacentral:rRNA from 1 species
GAACGCGAAGAACCUUACCCGGGCUUGAACUGCAGCUGAACGAUUCAGAGAUGAUGAGGCCCUUCGGGGCAGCUGUGGAGGUGCUGCAUGGUUGUCGUCAGCUCGUGCCGUGAGGUGUCGGCUUAAGUGCCAUAACGAGCGCAACCCCUUUUCUUAGUUGCCAUCAGGUAAUGCUGGGCACUCUGGGAAUACUGCCACCGUAAGGUGUGAGGAAGGUGGGGAUGACGUCAAAUCAGCACGGCCCUUACGUCCGGGGCUACACACGUGUUACAAUGGCGCAUACAGAGUGUUGGUUUCAUGCAAAUGAGAUCUAAUCUUCAAAGUGCGUCUCAGUUCGGACUGGGGUCUGCAACCCGACCCCACGAAGCUGGAUUCGCUAGUAAUCGCGCAUCAGCCAUGGCGCGGUGAAUACGUUCCCGGGUCUUGUACACACC